rnacentral:rRNA from 1 species
CGAAACCCUUCCCAAGAUAAGGUUUCCCUUCCCCUUCGGGGGAGUGAAGGUCCCCUGUAGACGACAGGGUUGAUAGGUCACAGGUGUAAGGUCAGUAAUGGCUUCAGCCGAGUGAUACUAAUUGACCGUCAGGCUUUACCAA